GACGAACGCUGGCGGCGUGCUUAACACAUGCAAGUCGAACGGAAAGGCCCUGCUUUUGUGGUGUGCUCGAGUGGCGAACGGGUGAGUAACACGUGAGUAACCUGCUCUUGACUUUGGGAUAACUUCAGGAAACUGGGGCUAAUAUCGGAUAGGAGCUCCUGCACCAGGGAGGGGGUUGGAAAGUUUCGGCGGGUGGGGAUGGACUCGCGGCUGAUCAGCUUGUUGGUGGGGUAGUGGCUUACCAAGGCUGUGACGGGUAGCCAGCCUGGGAGGGUGACCGGCGACAUUGGGACUGAGGGAGGGCGCAGACUGCAACGGGGGGCAACGGGGGGGAGUCUUGCACAGCGAGCGGGAGCGUGAUGCGGAGGCGCCGGGUGCGGGAAGACGGCCUUUGGGGUGUGAACAGCUGUCGCCUGUGACGAAGCGUGAGUGACGGUAAUGGAUAAAGAAGCACCGGCUAACUACGUG
rnacentral:rRNA from 1 species